rnacentral:rRNA from 1 species
AAUCAACGCUGGCGGCGCGCCUAACACAUGCAAGUCGAACGAGAAGGUGGGGCAACCCAUGAGUAAAGUGGCGUACGGGUGAGUAACACGUGGAUCAUCUACCUUCUGGUGAGGAAUAACCCUGGGAAACCGGGGCUAAUACCGCAUAAGCCCGAGAGGGGAAAGCAGCAAUGCGCCGGAAGAGGAGUCCGCGGCCGAUUAGCUAGUUGGCAGGGUAAAAGCCUACCAAGGCGACGAUCGGUAGCCGGCCUGAGAGGGCAUACGGCCACACUGGCACUGAAACACGGGCCAGACUCCUACGGGAGGCAGCAGUGGGGAAUCUUGCACAAUGGGGGAAACCCUGAUGCAGCGACGCCGCGUGAGCGAUGAAGCCCUUCGGGGUGUAAAGCUCUUUCGGCAGGGAAGAUGAUGACGGUACCUGCAGAAGCAGCUGCGGCUAACUACGUGCCAGCAGCCGCGGUAAUACGUAGGCAGCGAGCGUUGUUCGGAGUUACUGGGCGUAAAGGGUGUGUAGGCGGUUGCUUAAGUUUGGUGUGAAAUCUCCCGGCUCAACUGGGAGGGUGCGCCGAAUACUGAGUGACUCGAGUGCGGGAGAGGAGAGUGGAAUUCCUGGUGUAGCGGUGAAAUGCGUAGAUAUCAGGAGGAACACCGGUGGUGUAGACGGCUCUCUGGGCCGUGACUGACGCUGAGACACGAAAGCGUGGGUAGCAAACAGGAUUAGAUACCCUGGUAGUCCACGCCCUAAACGAUGCAUAUUUGGUGUGGGCAGUUCAGUCUGUCCGUGCCGGAGCUAACGCGUUAAAUAUGCCGCCUGGGGAGUACAGUCGCAAGGCUGA